UCGGUUGUGGAGGCAGGCCACGCUUGCGAUGAAAACAGACGCAAGCAGAUUUCUCAGAAGAAAAUCUAAAGCCAUUCUCAUCGGCCCAUUUGAGAGGGUGGUGUGCAUUUAGGUCUCCCAGAAUAAAGAAUGGCUCUGGCAACUGAUUGAUAAGGUCAAGAAAAUCGCCUAGUGUGGGAUUGCUGUUUGGAGGUAUGUAAAGAGAGACUACAGUUGUCAGAUUUUUCAGUUGUGCCCUAACAGCCACUGCUUCAAAAGAUGUAUUUAGAGGUAUCUCUUUUAUGAUUACACCAGAGUUAGCCACAAUUGCAACACCCCCUCCGGUGCUACCUAUGCGGUCCUUACGGUAGACUGUGUGAUGUUUAAAUAGUUUUGUGUGUGUGUUCAACAUGGUUUCUUGCAGACAGAAGAUAUAUGGCCUAUGCAUAUCCAGUAGGGCACAAAUAUCAUCUUAGUUUUGAGCAGCGCCACGGCAGUUCCAUUGCAAUAUAGAGAUGCCCAUUAUACAGGCAAGCUGGAUAUACUCGAUGACGACUUCUGCGACAUGCAGUCAUCAUCAUCGACGUCCAUACU